GUUAUAAUUCUAGCCACCUAAUAUACCCAACAAUUCUAUUAACCAUUAAAAUAAAUCAUUUAAUUAUGGAAGUAUAGGCGAUAGAAACCAUCAUUUGAGCAAUAGA
rnacentral:rRNA from 1 species